rnacentral:rRNA from 1 species
GACGAACGCUGGCGACGUGCUUAACACAUGCAAGUCGAGCGAUGAAGUUCCUUCGGGAAUGGAUUAGCGGCGGACGGGUGAGUAACACGUGGGUAACCUGCCUCAUAGAGGGGAAUAGCCUUCCGAAAGGAAGAUUAAUACCGCAUAAGAUCGUAGUUUCGCAUGAAACAGCAAUUAAAGGAGUAAUCCGCUAUGAGAUGGACCCGCGUCGCAUUAGCUAGUUGGUGAGGUAACGGCUCACCAAGGCGACGAUGCGUAGCCGACCUGAGAGGAUGACCCGGCCAACUGGGACUUGGGCACGGGCCAGGCCCCCACGGGGAGCAGGAGUGGGGAAAAUUUGGCAAUGGGCGAAAGGCUGAUCCCGGCAUGCCGCGUGGGUGAAGAAGGCCUUAGGGUUGUAAACCCCUUUCAGCGGGGACGAUAAUGACGGUACCCGCAGAAGAAGUCCCGGCUAACUCCGUGCCAGCCGCCGCAGUAA